rnacentral:rRNA from 1 species
GAUGAACGCUAGCGGCAGGCUUAAUACAUGCAAGUCGUGGGGCAGCAGGGUUGUAGCAAUACAAUCGCUGGCGACCGGCAAACGGGUGCGUAACACGUGCGCAACCUUCCCGUUACUGUGGCAUAGCCCAGGGAAACUUGGAUUAAUACCACAUAUUAGAUAGAGGGGUAAUCUCCUUUAUAUCAAAGCUUCGGCGGUAACGGAUGGGCGUGCGGUUGAUUAGGUAGUUGGCGGGGUAACGGCCCACCAAGCCUACGAUCAAUAGCUGAUGUGAGAGCAUGAUCAGCCACACGGGCACUGAGACACGGGCCCGACUCCUACGGGAGGCAGCAGUAAGGAAUAUUGGGCAAUGGACGAAAGUCUGACCCAGCCAUGCCGCGUGAAGGAUUAAGGUCCUCUGGAUUGUAAACUUCUUUUCUCUGGGGCGAAAAACAGCUAUUCUUAGUUGCUUGACAGUACCAGAGGAAUAAGCACCGGCUAACUCCGUGCCAGCCGCCGCGGUAAAAC